AUUGAACGCUGGCGGAAGGCUUAACACAUGCAAGUCGAACGAGCGGCGGACGGGUGAGUAAUGUCUGGGAAACUGCCCGAGGGAGGGGGAUAACUACUGGAAACGGUAGCUAAUACCGCAUAACAUCAGAUGUGCCCAGAUGGGAUUAGCUAGUCGGUGGGGUAAUGGCUCCCCUAGGCAACGAUCCCUAGAUGGUCUGAGAGGAUGACCAGCCACACGGUAACUGAGAAACGGCCCAGACGCCUACGGUAGGCAGCAGUGGGGAAUAUUGGACAAUGGGCGAAAGCCUGAUGCAGCCAUGCCGCGUGUUUGAAGAAGGCCUUCGGGUGGUAAAUCACUUUCAGCGAGGAGGCGUUACUCGCAGAAGAAGCACCGGCUAACUCCGUGCCAGCAGCCGCGGUAAUAC
rnacentral:rRNA from 1 species